GAUACGGUACUGUUCGUUAAUCUAUUUGAGGGCUUUGAAAUAAUAAUUUUAAAAAUAUUACCUCUUUCAAUGCUAGCCUUACGGAAUCUGAUCAUAGGGGUAUGUGCCUGCACCAUCUGUAAAUUGGGUAAAAUUGGUCUGAGCCGAAAUAUUGUGGAACGACAGAGAUUGUUGUAUUCCAGAAAGAAUCGUUCAUCGAAAAAAGAUGGCGCUGAAUCUCACUCUCUCUCUCUGCCUCACUGCUCUACCUCAUCUCCCGGCUUUUCGAAACGGUUUUCUGCAGAAUUAACUGUUAUUCUAGUUUCGUGAGACGUAAUAUUAUAUUUUGGUUCGGAUCAUAGAUGUGUGGAAAGCUAAAAUAAUUAGAUCUACGCUGGUACGGAAUUAUCUGUUAUUUAACCAAUUUAUUAUAUGGAAUGGAUCAUAAUCACAAGGAGGCAAGAAGGGUCAGUCGUCAAUAAUCAGCUGAUAAAUGUUAUAAUGUAGAUUUUAUUGUAACACUAUAAAAAGAACUUAUCGUGGAAAAUAAUAUUUGGUUUGCUAAUACAUUAAUAUUAGGAAUGAUAAAUUAGAUAGCACAGCGAACGAUGGUAAAUAUAUGAUACAUGGUUAUAUGAAGUGGCGAUAUCGCAUAAAACGCGAUAAUUUCAAACAGUCUCCAGUUAUUAAAUAACAACUCAAG